rnacentral:SRP_RNA from 2 species
GCUGGGCAUGGUGGCGGAUGCCUGUAAUCCCAGCUACUCAGGAGGCUGAGGCAGGAGAAUUGCUUGAACUCAGGAGGCAGAGGUUGCAGUGAGCCAAGAUCACGCCACUGCACUCCCACCUGGGUGACAAAGUGAGACUCUGUCUCCC